rnacentral:lncRNA from 1 species
AACCCUAAUGCUGACUAGCUGGAAAGAGUUCAGUUUAGGGUUUAAAACCCUAAUACUGACUAGUUGGAAAGAGUUCAGUUUAGGGUUUAAAACCCUAAUGCUGACUAAAGGAAAAAAGUUAGUUUAGGGUUUAAAACCCUAAUGCUGACUAAAGGGAAAAAGUUCAGUUUAGGGUUUAAAACCCUAAUGCUGACUAAAGGGAAAAAGUUCAAUUCAGGGUUUAAAACCCUAAUGCUGACUAAAGGAAAGAGUUCAGUUUAGGGUUUAAAACCCUAAUGCUGACUAAAGGGAAGAGUUCAAUUUAGGGUUUUAAAAUCCUAAUGCUUACUAAAGGGAAAAAGUUCGAGGAUACUAACUGACACCUCUUUUUUUGAAUUUUCUUGUUUUAGUAAAAGGUAAAAGAGAAUUUCUUGGAAACUUACCUCUCGAGUGGAUUUCUUAUUGCCAAACUUGUUUCU